rnacentral:lncRNA from 1 species
UUCUGAUAGGUAGCUUCUAUAGGUAGAUAGGUUGAUAAAUGUCAGUUGUAGGUGUAAUGUUUUUCUGUCCUUUUAUCUCGAUAUCUGUAUCAUGCUUGAUUUUUCUUCCUCCUCGAUUGCCUUUCUCUGUUUCUUCUUCUCGUUUUUUUAAAAUCUGUUCUUCGCAUAUUUUUUCAUUCCAUGUCGACACGAUUUUGGAUUUUUUCUACGAUUCCUUUUUUAUUUUUUUAUCGUUAUGUGUUUUCGAUUUUUUCUAAGUUCAUUUAUUCGUGUUUCGAUUUGUUCCCCGAUUGGGUUUCUCUGAUUUCCUGGUUGUUUGUCUUCGUUCUGAUAUUCUUUUUUCUUGGUUCCGGCUUUCUCUUUCCUGACUUUCUUUGUCAUAGCUUUAUGCUGCUAUUGUUUUUCUUAUUUCUUGAGAUUUUUACUUCUCUAUUCGUUUUUUCUACUUUUUGAUUUUGGAUUUGUUCGUUUUCUUUUCUGUUUUUGUUUUCUUUAGUUCAUUUUGUUCAUGAUUCUUCUCUUCAGUUUCAUUUCUUGAGUUUUUUUUCCUUGAGUUUCAUUCUCUUCUUGCUUUUUUGGUUAUUCAUUCAUACCUCGGUUGUUACUGGUUUUUUCAUCUGAUUUCAUUUCUACUUCCGUCUGCGUUCCAUCACGCUUUUUAAAGUGAAUGAGGGUUACGGUAGGUGAGUGAUUUAUUGUCGAUGAAUGUUCAGUGAGUGGUCAGUGAAUAAGUUUUCUUUAGUAAUGAAUAAUUCAUUUAAUACUAGUCUUAAUGGGUUCUUGAUUUUAUGUCGGUAAUUUGAUUUAAUUGUGAUUUGACGAGUUAAGAAAGGUGAAAUGAUUCUUGAACAAUAAUUUCAAAUAAUCGGUCGAAUAACGUAAUCGGGGUUUUCCUAACAAACCCGAUUAUGAAAAACAUAUAUACCAUGCCUAACCCUAUUUGGAACCCUAUCCAAAAUUCGUCAAAUCCACGACGCAGACUACAACGUUUCUAUAACAUCUUCAACUGGACGAUGUAGAACAAGGAUAGGUUCGAAAAGCAGCAAGAGGGUAAAGAUUGGCUAAUAUUUCUCUAUGCCGAAAGAUCCACAUCGGAGAUUCUCGACUUGGUAGGUUCUUUAUUAUUAAUGUUUCCGUUUAGGGUCAGACUAGAUUUUCCCGAACCUUAGAUUACACUUAUGCUUUCAGUAUCUAGUUUCUCAUCUAUACUUUCCUUCAUUUCCUUCAUUUCUUAAUUGGUUUCCUCAAUUACAUGACCGACUUGUUUUCAUUGUGUGAUCUGGAAUACCUAUUAACUUUCAAUAUAAAUUUUACAGAGGGUUGAGCUCUACGGAUUUUUUGAGGUUACAAACAGUUUUCUUGUGGCUGCGAAUAAGGGUUGGCGGACCGAUAGUCGGGGUUUACGAUAGACUGUAAGUAAAACUUUUUUUAAAAUAAUUAAAAGACGUAAUUUAAUAGAGUAGUUAUCCUGAUAUUGUCGGCAGGGAUUUGAGGGUGGAUCCAGUAAAUAUAAGGAUUAUUAAUUCGGUAACUGCCAGUAAAUAUAAGGGCGUUUUUAUGGGUGUUUUUGAGGGAGAUAAUUCAGAUUCAUUUGAAAGAUUAUCAAUAUUUUUUAGGGGAUUUUAAGGGUGAUUUUAAGGGUCUUCUGAACAGUGAUAAAUCCGUUUCAUUAGAAGAAUGAUACAUCUUAAAGGGUGAAUGUAUAAUGGUCAUUUUAAGGGAGAUUAAUUUAUGUUUAGAAUGAUAUUUUCAAUUUAAAUAAAUAUCUCAUUUAUUUAAAAAAUAUGAUUUAUUAAACAAUUAUAUUAUGUAAUUUAUUUGAUAAUAUGUCGGAUAUUUUAAUCGGAUAAAUAUUACUGAAUAAUUAGUAGGAUAAUUAUUGGGAUAGAACUUAAUCGGGUCAAGAAAACAUUAUCAGAAUUUGAUAAAAUAAACGUUAUUCUUUAAUUUUUGAAGUUACUGAUUACUUUAUGAAAUUUUUUGCAUUCGAAAAUAAUUUACAUUACUUUUUCAGACGUAAAAGAUUACAAUAUAAAUGCAGAAGUUAUUUUUUCAGACGUUUGAAGAAGAGUUUUUCUAAUAUUUUCAAUAUAAAUGCAGAUCUUGUCGUUGGAUUUCAAUCAAAGAAAGUUUGACCUUGUCAAUCAACUGUAGUUGAUAGCCUGUCCAUCUAACACUCUUAUCCAUUCUUGUAUGACUGACACUCUGUAACAAAUAUUUCAGAAGAGGUAUGUCGGUUUAAAUAAUCCAUUUUGCUUUGCGUUGCCUUGUCUUAUCGUCGUUAUUAUAUCUUGGCAGGAUGUGAAAGACCGGCUAAAAGUCUGGCAUGAUGUGUGAUGGCUUGUGUUCAGUUAAUGAUAGUUGUAACAGGUUGAAAGAUUGUGCAAAUCCUUAUUGAUUCAUUUAUAAUCAAGAGAAAAUUAACUAUUGACAUUUAAUAUUCUGUUAGGAAAUGUAAUUUAAUUGACAUUUAAACCUCUGACAUUAUGAUUUUUUGUAAAACUCUAACUAUUUAAUAAGUGUUAUUUGUUUUUUUACAGAUUUCAAAAAAAUAUUAUUACAGUGUUAUUUAUUAUUUUAAAGUGUAUUAAUUAAUCAUUGUUACAGUGUUAUUUAUUAUUUU